rnacentral:lncRNA from 1 species
AAAGGAUGUCAUUUUGAAGCUGGGCAUCAGGAGAAAAAAGGGCCAAAACGUUGUUAUUUUGGAAAACUCUAAAAUGACACUAUUUUGAUAAAGAAACAUGAAAAAAAGGGCAACCAAAGGCGUGUAUGCUUCUAGCAACCGAAGAAGAAGAAGAAAAAGCCUAUACCUACCUACACAUUGAAGAAGAAGGCAGAAAAGGCAUGCAUGGCUCUCUGUCCUUCCACCUAUUAAAAAAAGAAGAAAUUAAGAAGAAGGAAGAGAAACAUAGUCAAAUUAGUAGAGAAAGAGAGAGAAAGGAGCUCGGGGAGAAAGAGAGAGAGCAGGAGGGAAUAGACCAGACCAGGGGCGAGGCGGGUUUGGUGCAUGCAGCAUGCGAUACGACAGAUAGGGCCAUAACCAGAAGGCUGGAGAGAGAGAACACAUAACGGUGCAUGCAGAGAAUAAGGAGAACCAUGACAUUGGCCAGGCAAGGUUCCACGCAUCCACACCUUUCUCCAGCGCGAUUUUGCCAUAUCCGAGCUUGAUCUGCAUGUGCAGUUCGU